AACGAACGCUGGCGGCAGGCCUAACACAUGCAAGUCGAACGAACCCUUCGGGGUGAGUGGCAGACGGGUGCGUAACGCGUGGGAACCUACCCUUCUCUUCGGGAUAGCUCCGGGAAACGGGUAUUAAUACCGGAUACGUCCUGCGGGCGAAAGAUUUAUCGGCGUAGGAUGAGCCCGCGUUGGAUUAGCUAGUUGGUGGGGUAAAGGCCUACCAAGGCGACGAUCCAUAGCUGGUCUAAGAGGAUGAUCAGCCACAUUGGGACUGAGACACGGCCCAGACUCCUACGGGAGGCAGCAGUGGGGAAUAUUGGACAAUGGGCGAAAGCCUGAUCCAGCCAUGCCGCGUGAGUGAUGAAGGCCUUAGGGUUGUAAAGCUCUUUUAGUGGGGACGAUAAUGACGGUACCCACAGAAGAAGCCCCGGCUAACUUCGUG
rnacentral:rRNA from 1 species